GUGUGUAGUUAUAUAACAUAUAUACUAAAAUUAAAAUAAUAAAGAAAAUUAGCAUGACCCCUGUGCAAGGAUGACAUGAAAAUUCAUGAAGCAUUCCCUAUUUUU
rnacentral:snRNA from 1 species